AUCCAUGUGCAAUAGCCUAUGUUCAACUACCAGAUAAUGUAUGUAAAAUUGGCAGAUUAAUGUUUUCAGACACGACUGCAAUUACUAUUUAUCACAUAUAUAAUUAUGUUGAUAUUUUUCAAUUACAUUAAAACACAUUUCAGUAUUUUGUGUGUCGGUAAGCUACUAUGCCCCUAAAGGCCUUCGUAAUGUUAUUGUUGUAGGAAGCUGUUUCCUGUGUCAAGGACCACCUCAAAUAUGUGAAAAGGUAAAUUUUCCAGCAGACUGUCCACUUGAGAAACAGUAUUGUAUAAAUACACUCACAAACUUCAGGAAUGCAUCAAGACUCGUUGAAAUGAAAUGUGGAACGAGAGAUGAUUGUCAAAAAGGAUGGUUCGAGAAAUACUCAUCGGACGACAAAUGUACGGCUUUCGACCAGGCUUUUAUCUAUACGAACCAGUUUAGUUGUGAAUUUUGUUGCGCUUCUGAUAAUUGUAACCAAUUUGUUAAUCCACCAAAUAAAUGGCAUCCAUAAAACGUGGUUAAUUAAGUUAACCAACGAAAUAAUG